GGGCACGGUCAGUACCUGCCCACUGGUGGAUAGAGCUGGGUCUUGGCCCUCUGAUGGGCAGGGCCAUGUGUAGGGGAGUGUCAAGAGAUGGCUAUGGGCUCAGGAAGUCUUUAGGAAGCCUGUCUGCUGAUGGGUGGGGCUGUGUUCCUGCCCUGUUAGUUGUUUGCCCUGAGGUGUCCAAGCACUGGUGCCCUAAAGGCUGUUGGGUAAGGCCAGGUUUUGGCACUAAUGAGCUAGAGGGAGGAUCCCAAAAUGGCGGCCACCAGCAGGCAGGUCCGUGUGGUAGAAGGAGCUCCCCAGUGUGGCUGCCGCCAAUGUCUGUGUCCCCAGGGUGAGCCUCAGCCACCCCUGCCUAUCCGGGAGACUCUCCAAGACCAGCAGCAUGGCAAAAUGAGGAGGCAACUGACAAGCGAAGAGUUUGCGCAGUGGAGAACCACCCUGACCGUCUCUUGACUUUACAGGGAUCGUAGGUGGCAGAACGUUCUCUUCACUGACAGCCAUCCUCGGCUGUUCCGUUUCUGCAUCACACUCAUCCCUCAAAGUCAGUGACUGGAUCUUCUCCCAAGGUUUCCCCUGCUUUCCAUCAGGCAUGGGGAAAAAAAAUCAAGAGAGACAUGAGUGUCUACAACUGAGGAACUAUUAAUCAAUCCACAAGAAAAGCAUCUGUUAUAGAAAGAAUGAGAUAUUCAGGGAUGUUGGAGACACUGCUCUGAACACACUUCUGCACAGAUUGCCGAGAAAGGUGGGGAGACAGUGGUGCAGAGGCCUGACACCCAGUGUUCUUCUGUCCUGUUUUCUUUUGCUGUCUCUCCUGUCCUUCCCUCCUCAGCCACAGCUUCUUUCUUAAAUUCAUCCACUGGCUAGAACCCUGGACUCAGGCUGAAAACUGGAUUCUAAAUACAGUUCUCCCAUUAACUACCUGUUUGGGACAAACAUUUCAUCUCCCUGGAAGUUGGACUUUUUACAGAUUCAAUGACGGAAUCUGUGAAAUGUCUGGAUUAGAAGAUUUCUAGGGUUUCUUCUGGUCUUGACAGUCUAUGAUUACACCAUGAUAAAUGUUCUUUUCCCAAAUACUUAAAACUUAAGACAGUUUCCUGUUUAAACUUCUAAAGACAAGGACAGCAUCUACUUUCUAUAUUUGGGGCAUGAACAUCAAAACUAGUAAAUUGGAUGUUUUAGGGAGAAUAUCUUUACUCAAAAAAUAAAUAAAUAAGCAAAAAAAAAAACCCAAAACAAAACCCCAAGCCAGCAGGUAUAUGGAAAUGGGAACCUGCAAUAUUCUUCUAGCCGCUGCCUUUUAAUCGUCAUAAAAAUUUUCUUAAGCCACACUAUGACAAUGAGAAAAAGUUAGAUAACUAUUUUUCCUUAUUUAGGCCAAAAGUCAGACUUAAAAAUAAUAUGCUCUUAAAAAGAACAUAGAGUAUGCACAGUGUACCUCCUGGAGGGCAGUAGUGCUCGCACAUGGUUUUUCUUAGCGUUCCCUACACGAAUUUGCUGGAUCCCAGCAUGUGGUAGGCACUCGCUAGGUAGUUAUACAUUAAUGAAUUAACAUUUUUGAGAAACAGUAAAUAUAAAAUGUGUUCCUUAUUCAGUACAAACAGCAUGUUCAUUAGCAAAAGAAAUUAUCCUGAUAAUUUUAUUUCUAGUUUGUUGAUUAAGAUGCAAAAAAUAUACGCCUGGUGUUAGUUGCUUCAAUUUACUUUAGGUUUUAAUUCAUAACAUGGUCAAAUUUUAGCAAGUCUACUAGUUUUCAUAAUAAAUACCUCAUACAGUUGCAAGCAGAUGGCAUCUAUGAAUCCAACUUGCAUACUUGGGAUUUUGUUUUUCUUCUCCCUGUUCAUUAGGUCCUGAAAACAGAAACAGACACACACAGAUCUGCAUUUACUUAAAGAACACAAUGCAAGUUGGCUCUAAAAAGAUGAAUCACUGGGUUAGCUGAGGAAGGCUAUAUACCUGCCUACCUGCCUUCUUACCACACUCAGGAAGGCCCUGGUCCUCUCUCCCGUGUUCGCCCCGGCUGUGACUUUCCCCACAUGACCCCCAGAAUUGAUCACUGA